CCUACGGGUGGCAGCAGUGGGGAAUAUUGCGCAAUGGGCGAAAGCCUGACGCAGCGACGCCGCGUGAGGGAUGAAGGUCUUCGGAUCGUAAACCUCUGUCAGCAGGGAAGAACGGUCACUGUGCUAAUCAGCAGUGAAUUGACGGUACCUGCAAAGGAAGCACCGGCUAACUCCGUGCCAGCAGCCGCGGUAAUACGGAGGGUGCGAGCGUUAAUCGGAAUUACUGGGCGUAAAGCGCUCGUAGGCGGUAUGUCAAGUCAAGGGUGAAAUCCCCGCGCUCAACGUGGGAACUGCCUUUGAAACUGGGAAACUGGAGUGUGUGAGAGGAUAGUGGAAUUCGAGGUGUAGGAGUGAAAUGCGUAGAUAUCAGGAGGAACAUCAGUGGCGAAGGCGACUAUCUGGCACAUAACUGACGCUGAGGAGCGAAAGCGUGGGUAGCAAACAGGAUUAGAUACCCGAGUAGUC
rnacentral:rRNA from 1 species